GUUAUGCGGAUUGGACUACUCGAACGUGUCAGUCGGAUACCGGACGAAGAAGAUAUCAUCGGAUAACGGGAUGAGUAUGAAGGACAAAUAAUAAUUUUUCUCUAGACCGGCCUGGAUGCCCUUAUCCAACUCUCUGGGUGCCUCAGUAUUUUCGUUGUACUUAUCACCAACCUCAAUGGAAGAGAAAAUCAUUUCUCUUAUCUUCUUCUCUUUCCUUCUUCUCUGUUCUUCCUCUUCUGCUCUCUGUUAAUCUAAAUUUCAAAAUUCUGAGCAUGAUUUUGUCUGAGUGAUCCAUCAGAAUCAUAGUAACAUGUUGAUUUGAGAGAGAAGGUGAUGAUGUUGUUAUCUGUUGAGUUUUGGAAGAAGCAGAAAAGGUUACUCCUUAUUAACAACGAUCUAUUCAUGGAUGAACCAGUGGAUCGAAUAUCUCGAGGUAGGCGAGGCUUGUCAUCAAAUCAGUUUCAGUAAUCAGAAGAAAUGGAGCGUUUGAAGAUAUCCGUUUCAUAGCUUAGAGCUUUAUCGAAUCUAGUGUUAUUGUGUACCUUUUAAUACAUGUAUUCCUUCUUAUUCUGUAAAACAACACAUUAUUAUACUCUUAUCACUCGAGA